rnacentral:lncRNA from 1 species
CAGCAUCUCUUGCCAUCUCGCCUCUCUUCCCAGUUCAACAGUGUUGGACAACUCGAGAAAUUCAGGUUGGCCAGGAAGGCUACAGAAGCCGACCCUGGAUGACUUAAAUAAAAAAAGAAGAGUGAAUUGAAUGAAUGCGUCAAUUCACAGUCAUGAUGGCAAAACCGAAGAACAGGUUGAGAGGAUGGUCGGAGCCAUGGGAGAGAAAGGCGGUCAGAAUCACAACACAAAUCAGACCACAGUGCAGCCUGAGACAUCAGAAAGAAUCUCUACUGCUCUCGCUUCUCUGUCGCCGCCUCCAGAGUCAAAGCCCCAGGGGAAACAGCCAACUGGCCCCAGUUCCCAUGAAGUGAGGUAGGGUAAGACAAUUUGCCUUUUUUUUUUUUUUACCUUCUGGAAUGAGAGA